rnacentral:rRNA from 1 species
GACGAACGCUGGCGGCGUGCCUAAUACAUGCAAGUAGAACGCUGAAGGAGGAGCUUGCUCUUCUGGAUGAGUUGCGAACGGGUGAGUAACGCGUAGGUAACCUGCCUGGUAGCGGGGGAUAACUAUUGGAAACGAUAGCUAAUACCGCAUAAGAGUAGAUGUUGCAUGACAUUUACUUAAAAGGUGCAAUUGCAUCACUACCAGAUGGACCUGCGUUGUAUUAGCUAGUUGGUGGGGUAACGGCUUACCAAGGCGACGAUACAUAGCCGACCUGAGAGGGUGAUCGGCCACACUGGGACUGAGACACGGCCCAGACUCCUACGGGAGGCAGCAGUAGGGAAUCUUCGGCAAUGGACGGGAGUCUGACCGAGCAACGCCGCGUGAGUGAAGAAGGUUUUCGGAUCGUAAAGCUCUGUUGUAAGAGAAGAACGAGUGUGAGAGUGGAAAGUUCACACUGUGACGGUAUCUUACCAGAAAGGGACGGCUAACUACGUG